rnacentral:tRNA from 1 species
GAGGGUACAGCUCAGCAGUAGAGUACUUGCUUAGCACGCACAAGGUCCUGGGUUCAAUUCCCAGUACCUCUG